UUGAACUCACAACCUUCAGACUCAGGGGCCGGUUACCAUCUGCCAGCCCUGUCGCGGAUGAGCUGGAGGUGAUGCAUGGAGCAGCUGUUUCCAAAUGAGUGAAAAUGAACUGGCAGGAGACAGCAGAUGGGUGAUGUGUGUCCAGUUGAUGUUGAAGGGGGGAGGGGAAAAAAAUUCAUGUUCUGUUUGGGCCCCAUCCCAUUGGACACUCUAAUCCACAGUAUUGUCCAUAUCGAACGAUUAGCUCAUUGGUUAGGAUUUGAGGUGGCUCCUGAUUGGCUGUUGUGGCAGUAUUUGUGAGGCUGCUGAUGCAGUUAGGGCUGCACUUAUCUAAUUCUGUCUGUCAGGAGUGUGGAGCUCCACCCAGCUGUGCUGUGUUUUGGAAGCAGUCUGUCUUUUGUGAAGCAGGGAGGCACACUUGCAGCCUCUCUGCUCCUAAAACUCUGCCAUGAAAUCUGAAGAGCUGGAUGAAUCUCCUGCAGCAGAUGUCCAUACCUCAAAUGAAACCACAAAUAACAAAAGUGGAGCAGCCAUGAAGGGGCCAAUGAGCAAACAGAAGAACGAUGGGCCUGCUAAAGGGAAACCGAGUGCAAAAUCCACCACUGGAACCCAAGUCAAGGCUAAGGUGGGGACCACAGGCAGUAGACAACCAAUAUCCAGUAGACCAUCCUCUUCUCAGCCAAGCAGAGUGGCCAAUGCUGUCACUAAAAAGAGUAAUGACCAGGAGCAAAAAGCCUCUUCCAAAACUGCAAGGUCUGGCAUGUCCUCUCAUGACAAAAUCAUGGAGAAGAAAAUGGCUGCCAGGAGCAAGGCUUUGAAGGAAAACGUGGCUUCCCCCAGCAGUGCUGGUGGGAAUGGUAACCAGCCCAAUCAUGUGGAGAAAAGUGGAUCAAUCAAGGCACUGCCCACCAGCAAAGCUGUUCCCAAAGUCAAAGCCCCAGUGCAGCACUGCUCCACCUCUGCAGCUUCCAAGAAACCAACUGCUGUUGCAGCAGUUAAACUGCCUGCAGAAAGACCAGUGAAGCCCCAGCGCAGCACUGUGAGCAGACCCAACAGCACGACUGCUGAAUCAAGCCGACCAAGUGCCAGUACAGUGAGGAAGCAACCAAUGUCUAAACCUCCUAGUGAGCACUUGACUUCUGCUCGAACUUCCAAACCUGGUGUGCUGCUUGCAGGAGCCAAACCAGAAAAACUCUCUGCUGCCUCCAGCAGGAAAGAUUUGACUCUAAGCUCUUCCCAGCCAAAGAAGAUUCCAAGUCUAGAAGUGAGUAAGACCUCCAAUGUUGCCAGAUCCACCAAAACAAAGUUGAAGCCUACAGAAGCUUCUGCUGAGGCAAAACAUUUGGAUGCAAGGCUCAAGGUCAAAACACCAGUUAAAUCAGGCCGUGGGGUACAGUCAGAUGCCUCUGUUUCCAAGGGCUCAGUGGGCACUGUUCUACAAUCAACUAAAACUUCCAAAGCAGUUGAGAAGCAACGCCUAUCAAAUAGAAGGUCAUCGACCUCUAGGAAGUCUCUCUCAGAGAAUGUUGGGAAACAGAAGUCCUUGGAGAGUCAGCUUGAGACUGCAGCAGAAGUAAAGAGAAAGGAGGCUGCUCCCACCUUGCUUGUAGCACCAUCCACUGAAGAUGUGUCUCGAGAUCCAGACAGUUGUCUCUCCAUCAAAAAUAUGUCCUUGCCACAAGAAGUGGAGGAAGCCCCUUGUCUCAGCCAGGCUGAUGAACCUUCCCCUGCAGAGAAUGAGGUGAUGAAUGGUGAGCCUGAAGCAAGUGUGUGUAUGGGGACACUCGAUGAAAUGGAGAAAGUGGCACAGCUGGGACCUGUUGAAUCAUCUGGCCAACUAAAUGAAGUUGAGAUGAAUCCUGACCAAAUGUUUGAACUAGAGUUGUGUUUAGACUACAAUGAUGAAAUAGAAAAUAUUGGAGAUAUUGUUGGAAGUGAACAUGAUGUUGCCAAGGUGAUCAAUACAACUCAUUUAAACAAUAUUGAAGCUCAACAGAUUAAUAUAGAUGAAAAUGUGACUGGUGUUGGAGAGGUGAACUUAAACAACGAUGACCUGGAAGUGCAUGUCCUGCCUAGCAAACAAAUUUGUGAGAAGGUUUCUAUUCUGCCAUGUUCUGAAGGAAUUCUAUCCAAUGUGGAUCUUGGUGCUCUGAACCCUACUCUAGGGAGCCCAUCAGAAAAUGUAACUGCAAUUAAGGACCAUGUAGUCCGUGCACCGACACUGGAGGAUCUAGGAGAACCUAAGGAGCCUGCUUUGAGAAGCUCUUUGGAAGAUGAGAGCUCUCCAGAGUCCAACAGUAACCUCGCCAAUGCAGAGAAAGUUAAGCUGAGCAUGUAUGAAUACUCUGAAGAGGCAGAUACAGAGGAAUCUCCUCCUGAUGAACUUUAUCCAGAAAGGUGCUCAAAUCAUGACCAAGACGUUGUCUUUAAACCUUGCAAUCUGCUAGUGGAAAGUUGUAGGGUGCCUAAACAGUUGGAACAUCCUGUUGAAAGUGAAAACUUGUCUUCUGGAAGGAAACUUGGGAUUUCACCUGAAGAUUUGCACGAAGACCAGGGUGUCUCCCGAUCUAGUACAUUGAGUGGUCCUGACUUGGCUGGGAAGAGCAGCAGCGUCACCAGCACUCCAGAGGAACUGAAGGAUUACAACAGUAGUUCAGGAGUUGAGUCCAAAUCUGAGAAAUUGGAGUCUGCAGAUAAUUGCAUUCCCCAGAGAGAUGAACUCCGCCAGCUAGAUCUUGUGGAGCAGGAUUUGGGGAUUCACUUGGAAAGGGGUGAUUAUGAGCCAGAGACUCUUCAGCAGAUGAUCUUCUUGAAGGUUCUUCAACUGAGCCCCUUGUGUCUUCAGAGGAUGAAGAUCAUUCUGAGGGUUAUCUUGAAAAUGUGGCUGGGAAAACCAACCAACAAGGGCUGGAAGGGAUUGAUAACCCUGUAUUUGAGGACAAAGCUGCAAAUGAAUUGAAAACUGAAACGCCCUCCCUUCCAUUUGGUUCCCCCCACUUCAAACCCUCUGCUCUACAGGCUGUGGAUGAAAUAGAAGAGCUUGCAACUGCCGAGACACCUUGUUCUCCAGGGUUUGAGCAACUUGACCACCCAGACUCCCAUUGUCUUCAAAGCUGCCUGCUCUCAAAAACUGAGUCACAAGCAGACUUUUCUGCUGACAACCAGGUGACCAGCCCUUCUGCUGUGACUGGCAGCCAGUCCCACAGGCCUGAAGAGAGCCCUUCUGUUGAGAACAGCCAGCCUUUAGAAAAUGAGUGUCCAACCUGCACAUCCCCUGAAAUGACUUUAACUGCAGAAAGUGUGCACAAGCUGGUAGAAGACCAUUCUAGUGAGUUGGGUGAUGAACCACCCUCCAGCAACAUGGAGGUACUGGUAGCCGACCAUCCUAUAGACUACCUCGAUGGGGACUUGGCUAAAUUACAAGAGUUGACCGAUGAUGCAAAUGAAGGUUGCAUGCAGCAGCAAUGCUCCCCUCUUUAUGAAAAGAAUGAUAACAUAUUGACAGGCAUCAUGAAUGAGGGCGAUAAAACACUGCAGACACACUGUGUGCCUUGGAUAACACCACUGCUCCCACCUAUCCUUUCUACAAUCUAUGAAGUAGAAACUGCAGAGUCUGAGGAGAGUAGACUUGAAGAUGACACUGACAGUAAAGAACAUCAGAAACAGGAUCUCCCAUGCCUUGAACUCAUUGAAGAUCCCAACGACAGAGUCUUGUCCCUGCAGAUUGAGCCAGUGGAAGUUGUACAGCAGUUGAUUAACCACACACUACUGCUUUCCAGCGAUGGGGUCAAGCUACAAAGUAAGGUAAUGGUUGACAAAGCAGAGCUGAGCAAUGGACUGAUCUUAUAUCGCCAUUAGAUGACUCCACAGCCAGUAUUACAUCUGUAACUAGCUUUUCUCCUGAAGAUCUCUCAUCUUCACAAGGGGAAUGGACGGUGGUAGAAUUGGAGACUCAUCAUUAGCCUGGGCAUUGCCUGUCUUGUAUGCUCUUGAAAUGUUAGUUAAUCAGAUAGUCCAAUAUAAUAUUGAAGUGUGAGGCAGACCAGUACUUAAACCUUGAAGAUCUUUUUGCUGUGAUCAUGCUGUCAGUAUCACUGGUCUGAGCUUUGAGAUGUUCUCCAAUAUUGUAACUUCCAGGUCUGACGUAAAGGGAUUUACAGAAUUAUUUAAAUGGGAUUGGACCUGAAUGCAGUUGUCUACAUUCUCUUAUUAAUUGGAUUAGUUUGUAAUGCAUUGAAGGUAGCUUGAUGAGCUGCCACAAUAUAAAGUUCUUUAACUGGAAUAUAAAUCUACAAAAAACCUUCAUUUAGUUAAGAGAUUUGAAUAUCCUACACUUUUUUUGGUGUUAAAUCUAUCUUUUUGUCUACAAUUGAACCAUUUUCAGUAAAAGUAACUGUCUUUGCUCAGGUGGCCCUGUUUGUGGUCUGAAAUUUUGGAUGGGAAUAGACAACAUGUUGGAACAGGAUUUUUUUUUGUUUAAAAGUGACUAACCUGUGAAUGAUCCAAGUCUGUUCCGAGAAUUCUAUGACUGCACUUUUUUUAUUUAGAAUACAAGUUUACUUGGCUUUUGGUUGUGCUUUUGUCCAUUAUUUUUGUAUAAAUGCAGCUUUCUAUAUCAGUGGCUCUGUUUAUGGGCUCAAAACUAGAACAAAAUUGCAGAAGCAGUUUUCUUUAAGCUUGAGUGGAGUUGUGUAUAUACUUUGGCUGCAAGGAAUUCUUGAAGUGGUGCUCUAUUCUUGGAUUGGAAUGUUUUAAAGCCAUGAUGUUGUACCUGCCUCUAUGGUUGGUUCAGUAGGUGUUCACCUAAUGAGAUCUCUUGGGCAAAAAUAACCUAGCCAGUAAUGUGCUUCAAAAGGUGAAUACAUGAAAUAAGUGUCCUUUUUUGUACUGAGUUAAAUGUGCAGGGAAGAAUGAAACCCUUUAAUGCAGCAAUGCAUGCAAAAUAAAACUUUUUUUUAAUCCAAGACUACUCAAAUUAACUUCUAGUUCAUAGUUAUAAAGCUGCUAUGUCCACCAACACAACUGCAGUUGAAGCUAAUUAUGAAUGGACUAUGACCUUGCUGGUGACAGCCACCUUCCUGUGAUUUUUACACUUGCCUGAUUUUUUUCCUUUACAUAUUUGGCUUUCUACAAAUGGCUUGUAAAAUGUAUUUUGCAAAUGUGGAGCUGGUCCAGGUGAGAUGAGUAACUUGUAAUAUCUGACUUGUUAGUCUGAAGGGGUGGUGUCCAUUUCUUGUCCAACCAGAGAGAAAUGUGUGGAGAUUUACACUGGACCAGUGUGUACUACCACAUAGCUGAAGAUGCACUAACUGUUCUUGGAGUAUUACUGUCAUCCAUGCUGCAUGAAGCGGACUUCUAAUGUAUUGACACAAACGGGUUUAAUUGUGAAUUGCCAGCAUGUUUUUAAUGGUUUAUAGAUCUCUGAAAUUAAAAUGCAUCCAGAAGUGUUCUCAAAGCUUUGGAUAUUGCUGUACAUUCCCUUUUUGGGGUGGGGAGGGUUGUGUUCAGAUACUACCUCCCUACCUGGAACCUGGAGGUUUUGUUUACAUUAAAGUUGAAACUGGUUUAA